GACGAACGCUGGCGGCGUGCUUAACACAUGCAAGUCGAACGGAAAGGCCCUGCUUUUGUGGGGUGCUCGAGUGGCGAACGGGUGAGUAACACGUGAGUAACCUGCCCUUGACUUUGUUAUAACUUCAGGAAACUGGGGCUAAUACCGGAUAGGAGCUCCUGCUGCAUGGUGGGGGUUGGAAAGUUUCGGCGGUUGGGGAUGGACUCGCGGCUUAUCAGCUUGUUGGUGGGGUAGUGGCUUACCAAGGCUUUGACGGGUAGCCGGCCUGAGAGGGUGACUGGGCAAAUUGGGACAGAGAUACGGCCCAGAGUCGUACGGGAGGCAGCAGUGGGGGAUAUUGCCCAAUGGGCGGAAGCCUGAUGCAGCAACGCCGCGUGAGGGAUGACGGCCUUCGGGUUGUAGGCCGCUUUCGCCUGUGACGAAGCGUGAGUGACGGUAAUGGGUAAAGAAGCACCGGCUAACUCCGUG
rnacentral:rRNA from 1 species